rnacentral:rRNA from 1 species
CGAACGGGUGAGUAAGCAUCGGAACGUACCCGUUGUGGGGGAUAACGUACGAAAGUUACGCUAAUACCGCAUACGCACUGAGGUGGAAAGCGGGGGACCUUUGGGCCUCGCGCAAUUGGAGCGGCCGAUGUCGGAUUAGCUAGUUGGUGAGUAAAAGCUCACCAAGGCGACGAUCCGUAGCUGGUCUGAGAGGAUGAUCAGCCACACUGGGACUGAGACACGGCCCAGACUCCUACGGGAGGCAGCAGUGGGGAAUUUUGGACAAUGGGCGAAAGCCUGAUCCAGCCAUGCCGCGUGAGUGAAGAAGGCCUUCGGGUUGUAAAGCUCUUUCAGACGGAAAGAAAUAGCCUCGGUGAAUAUCCGAGGUUGAUGACGGUACCGUAAGAAGAACACCGGUUAACUACGUGCCACACCGCGGUAAUACUAGGUGCGACGUUAAUCGGAAUUACUGGGCGUAAAGCGUGCGCAGGCGGUUACUUGAGACAGGAAUUGUUGGAAAAUCCCCCCCGGGGGGCUUUAAACCUGGGGGAAAACUGGGGUUUUGGGUGGAACUUGGGUGUGGAACUUAANAAGUUACGGGUCAAAAAGGGGGGGGGUUGG